rnacentral:rRNA from 1 species
UACAGAGGGUGCGAGCGUUGUUCGGAUUUACUGGGCGUAAAGGGCGCGUAGGCGGUCAGCACAAGUCAGUUGUGAAAUCUCCGGGCUUAACUCGGAAAGGUCAACUGAUACUGUGCGACUAGAGUGCGGAAGGGGCAACUGGAAUUCUCGGUGUAGCGGUGAAAUGCGUAGAUAUCGGGAGGAACACCUGCGGCGAAGGCGGGUUGCUGGGCCGACACUGACGCUGAGGAGCGAAAGCGUGGGGAGCGAACAGG